GUGUCCUCUUAAGGCUGACUUAGUGCUUGCAGAGGUUAACACAGAAGGAUAAAAGAAGUCCCUAUAAAACCCAGGUUGGAGAUUUUACAAACUAUUCUUUGGAUCUUGUGUGGAGUCACAGCC